CCCACAGAAUUGAUUAUCUUUGGAUCAAUGGAAGACGGAUGUAAGCUAACUUCAUCUCAAAAAUGUCUACUUAAUUAUGGCUUAAUAACAACAAAAAAACGUAUACUUAAAUUCUGGAAAAAUGCACCCGCACCGACGC